GUGCUACAGGAGUUCAACCUGCAUGACAUGUUGCUUUAGUAGAACACUACUGUGCUCCUUCAACUGUUCUUUGUAUGCAGGUGGUUCUUCAGCCUCUACUGAGGGCGAAAACUUCAAAGCUUAAUGAACUCAGCUUCACGGCAGCUUCUGGAGGCAGCAAGGCAAAAAGGAUCUUCAUGUUAAAGCAGGGGCAUGAAGUCAUUAGAAGGAGCAAACACCUUCCAUGAAGGUCUUCGUGCACCUCACUAAGAUCAAAGGAUCAUAGAGGUAGAAAGCUUCUUUCCUGAGAGUGGGCAAUUAUCAGCAGUUUAAAUUCUUCAAGAAUCUGACCUUGAAUGCAACAGACAAGAAAAGGCAGUUCUGAACAUUUUAACCCGAAGAAUGUUUUGCACAGGGACCGUCUCUCCAUAUAGAAGUCCUAGUCAGGGUCCUGGAAGGGCAGUCAGAGGGUGGACAAGGUGAGUGCAACUCUAUCAUUCUUCUCCUUUCAUUUUGUUCAGUUAGCACAGGAAAUUAUUUGGAAAAAAUAAUCUAAUAUCCACAGGUUAUAUAGCUUUCUGAUUUUAAAGAAAUGGGGAAAACUAUAAGAAGGAAUUCAUCCUCUGCCAAGCAAAACCAAUAUCAGAAAAAGUAACCACAAAUAAAAGGCAUGAAAGUUGUUUUAUACAUUAUGUCACUAAUUUUUUAAUUCAGUGAUCAGUGAAUACCAGAGUAUGAGCUUCAGUUGGAAACCCCUGCCAGUUGUUUGCACACAAGCAGCAGAAAUACACCAUGUACUAAAACCACAACUGUAUCUUGGCCCAAAGCAAGCCCCAUUUCUCCAGCCAGCAGUUUCAGAAGUGCCUAGCACAGGCUAUCCCUGCAGUGAAAAUAGCAACAUAAUUCAUUUUACUGUGACAAUGAGAACCAACCCUCCACAUCUGAACAGCAAAAUAAAGUUGUGAACUGUGAACCAUACCAAGAAAGAACUGACUUGUUCUGCAGAGCAGAGAUUUUUUGAUUUGUGUGACCUUCUGCAGAAGAUACAGGGCUCAGCUGGCCUUCCCCAGGAGCAUCAUGCAGAUUAUUAGAGAAAAGACCUGCUACAGUUGGGACAGAAAUGAGUACCUGAAGCAGUUCCUACAGGAUUUGAUCACCAGAGUGUCUUGAGGACUGUGCAUAACUCACAUUGCUACAUGAGGCCUGCAAAGUGCCAUGUGGGCAAAAGGAAAAAGGGGGAAUGAUUCGUGCAUGGGCAGGGAUGCUUUUGAGCAAAAUGCCCAGAGUGUGAAACACAGCCAGAAAGCCAAGGAUACUUUAAAAGCUACUGCAACAAAGUCACAAUUUGUUGAUCUGAACAAUGAUUGAACUCUAGCUCCACACUUCUAAAAAGUAAGUGGGUUUUUUUGUCCAUUUGCCCAAAAUAUGUUGCGUUCUUGGCUGAACUUGUGGGGAGUUCAUUUUCCUUCCCAGACUAGUCAAAUGAGUGUGAGUGCUUAGGACAUAUCUUAUCCAGGCUGUAAAACCCCUGCUUCUGAACUUGGGAGGAAUCUGACUUGCCUCUUAAAGCAUAUCUCAUUCCAGAACUGCUGUACCCUAGUGGUGUUUCUGUGCAGGAAAUUGUCAUGUCUGGGACUGCAAAACCCAUGUGGACCCAAAGGUAUAUUACAAGGAAGUUACAAAGAUAUCCUUAAAUUCAAUAGCAGGCAGAAAUCUCCCUUAGUCUGGAGAAGUCACCGUUUCUACCCUGGGGUCCAGAGAAGCCCUCAGCAUCAAAGGAAUGAUUAAAAACAGCCAGGCUUGUAACAAAGGUCGUCACUUCUUAACUUCUGUAAAGCAAUAAUUGCCAUACUGCAGCUAAGAGGUUAUGAAUGUUAAUGGAGUUGCAAACUGAUAGGAAGUGCUGAGUGGCAGGAGUCAGUGGAGUCAGGGGAAAGGAAGGUGCAACCCGCCCAGAGAGCAGAGCCACAGCUUUCAGAAACAGUUCAUGGUUUUGCCCAGCUCUACCAUGGGAUCAAAGCACUAUGCAUGUUAGAGAAGUCACACAAACUUCUUUGAGAGGAGCACCCUCGGGUCAGUAGUUAUUUUUCCCCUUUGACAUAGGUUAUCCUUUUUCCACAUCAUAAAUCACUCUGGGCAAACCACAGAAGCCAGACAGAGAGGCUAGGCAGCAACACAUGGCAAAGGCCCCAUGACAGCUCUUCUUCUCUUGACAGACACAUCAGCAGCACCUGGCACAGAUGUUUGGCACAGAUGUGCUCACCUGCAGGCACACAGAGCUUGGUGUGUGGAGUUCAGGGACAAAGGAAGCUGAGUCACAGGGACAGCAAUCCCAGCUGGGCCCAGGGAGCCAAAUGACUCCCCAUCAGACUGCUGCGUGUUUCUACCUUUGACUGGUGCUCUGAGUCACUGACAGCUUUGUUUGCACUCAUUCCUUUUGUCAGCUGGAUUGCGCAUUUAUAGUCACCUCAGCACUGCCUCUCCUACUGCCUGGUCACCAAAGCCAUCGCACACCACCAGGAAGAAAAAAUAGGGAUUUCUGGAGCACAUGAUAUGUUUGCAAAGGAUGGCUUAGUCCGAACUCUCCUCAUGUUGGUAUCCAUCCUUUCAUUUUUUUUCUCUCUUUUUUUCUCUGUUUUCUUUUAUAAAACAGGGGUAGUCUGUUUUCCUGAUUAUGUACUGCCUGGAAAUGCAGUUGAAGAUAGUGUAUACAAUUGUACUUCUUUGUUAUAUUAUUACUGGACUGCUAGGAUCCAAAUACUUCUUGGCAUCCUUUAUCCCUAAAUCUUCUUUUGAUCAAUAAAAACGAGAAUUCUGCAGCUUAUAU